rnacentral:rRNA from 1 species
UCCCUACGGGGUGCACCAGGCGCGCNAACUUUACAAUGCGAGCAAUCGUAUAAGGAAACCCUGAGUGCCUGUCGAUGCAGGCUGUUCAUAUAUUUAAAUCAUAUUAAAGAAAGNAGGCAA